rnacentral:rRNA from 1 species
GAUGAACGCUGGCGGCGUGCCUAAUACAUGCAAGUCGAGCGAACAGACGAGGAGCUUGCUCCUCUGACGUUAGCGGCGGACGGGUGAGUAACACGUGGAUAACCUACCUAUAAGACUGGGAUAACUUCGGGAAACCGGAGCUAAUACCGGAUAAUAUAUUGAACCGCAUGGUUCAAUAGUGAAAGACGGUUUUGCUGUCACUUAUAGAUGGAUCCGCGCCGCAUUAGCUAGUUGGUAAGGUAACGGCUUACCAAGGCAACGAUGCGUAUCCGACCUGAGAGGGUGAUCGGCCAAACUGGAACUGGGACACGGUCCAGACUCCUACGGGAGGCAGCAGUAGGGAAUCUUCCGCAAUGGGCGAAAGCCUGACGGAGCAACGCCGCGUGAGUGAUGAAGGUCUUCGGAUCGUAAAACUCUGUUAUUAGGGAAGAACAAAUGUGUAAGUAACUAUGCACGUCUUGACGGUACCUAAUCAGAAAGCCACGGCUAACUACGUG